CUGGCGGCAUGCCUUACACAUGCAAGUCGAACGGCAGCACGGGAGCAGUCCUGGUGGCGAGUGGCGAACGGGUGAGUAAUAUAUCGGAACGUGCCCAGUCGUGGGGGAUAACGUAGCGAAAGCUACGCUAAUACCGCAUACGAUCUAUGGAUGAAAGCGGGGGAUCGCAAGACCUCGCGCGAUUGGAGCGGCCGAUAUCAGAUUAGGUAGUUGGUGAGGUAAAGGCUCACCAAGCCGACGAUCUGUAGCUGGUCUGAGAGGACGACCAGGCCACACUGGGACUGAGACACGGCCCAGACUCCUACGGGAGGCAGCAGUGGGGAAUUUUGGACAAUGGGCGCAAGCCUGAUCCAGCAAUGCCGCGUGCAGGAUGAAGGCCUUCGGGUUGUAAACUGCUUUGUACGGAACGAAACGGUGAGCUCUAAUACAGUUUGCUAAUGACGGUACCGUAAGAAUAAGCACCGGCUAACUACGUG
rnacentral:rRNA from 1 species